CAAAGCAGGUCGUCUUCAAACUCUCACAUGGAGCAGGCCCGGCAGGAUAUUGGUAAUUCUAAAGGAUCACUCCGACCUAUGAGCUCAAAUUCUAGAAGUGACCAGAGUGGAGUAUCUGAUUCCCCUAAAUCCAACUUGCCAAUGAGCAAGUCUCUCUCGGGAAAUCAACAUAUUAACAGACUGCAUCACUCUGUGGGUCAUCAGAAAGGUGUUCAGUGGAAGCCCAAGUUAACCAAGAAAUCGAGCGUAACAGAUCCCGGGGUUAUUGGAAAACCUUCUGAAGGUGUCUAUUUAACUAGUAAGUCAGAAGACUUGGAAAAAGAAGGAUCUCAGUUGCAAGAUAAGAUGUCAAGGCUAAACAUCUCAGAGAAUGUGAUCAUAGCUGAACAUAUUCGUGUUUCUGAGACUGACCGGUGUCGCCUGACCUUUGGCAGCUUUGGAGCUGAAUUUAAAUCUGCGAAAGAUUUGGAAGAAGAAUCACAGACCAAGUCAUCAAGACUGUCGGUUUUGGUUUCUGAAUCUUCCACUGAUGAUCCUGUUGGGAGCAAGCAACUAGAUUUGGCUGAUGAUCACGUUCAGAAUCCAGAGUCUACUUCUCCUGUAUCUGAUGUAAUUUCAGAUCAGAAGCUGUCAGAUAAUAGAGAGUCUUCAAGUCCUGAGGAUUUGGGUAAUUAUGCAGAUGUUGGGUUGGUUCAAGAUAAAAGUGCAUCAUAUACUCCCCCAGAGUCUCAACAGCAGCAAAAUGCUUCUAAUUUAUCAAGUUUCUCGGCUUAUGAUCCCCAAACUGGGUAUGAUAUACCAUAUUUUAGACCAGCAGUAGAUGAAGCUCUUCGCGACCAGGGUCUCCAAGAGGCCCUAAGUUCACACGCUGCAAAUAGCAUGCCUGUAUCGUCAAUUCCAAUGGUGCAACAAGUACAACAGCAUCAACCAAUUGCACAGAUGUAUCCCCAAGUUCAUGUUUCCCAUUAUGCUAAUCUUAUGCCAUACCGCCAUGUUUUCUCUCCUGUCUAUGUUCCUCCAAUGGCGAUGCCUGGCUAUUCUAGUAAUGCUGCUUACCCUCAUCCGCCAAACGGUAGCAACUACUUGCUGAUGCCUGGUGGUGGCUCCCAUCUUAGCGCAAAUGGACUCAAGUAUGGAAUCCAGCAGUUCAAGCCUGUUCCCACAGGCAGUGCUUCAGGGUUUGGAAAUUUUACUAGUCCAACUGGCUAUGCUAUAAACACUCCUGGUGUAAUUGGCAGUGCAACAGGUCUUAAAGAUUCAUCUCGGAUGAAGUACAAGGAUG
rnacentral:misc_RNA from 1 species